rnacentral:rRNA from 1 species
AUUGAACGCUGGCGGCAGGCCUAACACAUGCAAGUCGAACGAGUGGCGGACGGGUGAGUAAUGUCUGGGAAACUGCCCGAUGGAGGGGGAUAACUACUGGAAACGGUAGCUAGUACCGCAUACCAUCAGAUGUGCCCCGAUGGGAUGAGCUGGUAGGUGGGGUAACGGCCCACCUCGGCGACGAUCCCUAGCUGGUCUGAGAGGAGGACCAGCCACACUGGAACUGAGACACGGUCCAGACUCCGACGGGAGGCAGCAGUGGGGAAUAUUGCACAAUGGGCGCAAGCCUGAUGCAGCCAGGCCGCGUGUAUGAAGAAGGCCUUCGGGUUGUAAAGUACUUUCAGCGGGGAGGCGUUACCCGCAGAAGAAGCACCGGCUAACUCCGUGCCAGCAGCCGCGGUAAUAC